AUUAUUUAUGCUUAUAAAUAUCUUAACAGGGGGUGUCAAGAGGAUGGGAUCAGACCAUUUUCAGUGGUGCCCAAUGACAGGGUAAGUGGCAACAGGCACAGACUGAAACGUAGAAGGUGUUCCAUCUGAAUAUGAGGAGAAACUACUUUGAGGGUGCCAGAGCACUGGAAUAGGCUGCCCAGAGAAGUUGUGGAGUCUCCUCCUCUGGAGAUAUUUAAAAACCACCUGGACACAUUCCUGUGCAACCUGCUGUAGGCAAACCUGCUUUAGCAGGUGGGUUGGACUAGAUGAUCUCUAUAUGUCCCUUCCAACCCCAAACAUACUGUGAUUCUAUGACAUUACAGCUUCCAGCCAACUGUAGGUACAAGCUUUAGUAUAGAGGACUUGUGAUAUUCUGUCCAGCUGGAAAGCAGGAGAUGGUGGAGCAGCUCCCUGGGCUCAGUGACUGGUGGGUAGAAGCCUCCUGACACUGAUGCUCAGCCCACCUACACUGGGCCUGGAGCACUGUAUCCUGGAGAGGGCAGCCAUGAAUAAUGGCACGUACAGCAGAUCUGCACAAGUGCUCAGCUCUCACAGCUGCUCCGGGCCUGGACAGCUAGGUGCUUACAGCAUGCCGUGAAUAUUUUGCAUAUUACAGCAGAAACCAGUUGUUGCGUCUGGGCACCUAUGGAGUAUUUUCAGUAUUUCAAAUAUUCAUCUGUCAAAGCCCCACUGAAAUACCAUGAGAUACUGAUGGUGGAGUAAAAUAAACAGGAAGAAUAACAGAAAAAAGUUGCCACUUGCAAGACAAAAACAGAAACAAGAGGCGCUUCCGUCCUUACAGUCUGUGCACGUGGCUUGGGAACAAGGCUGGCGGCCAAAAGCUGCCCGAUUGCGCCUAUCGAGUGUCCCUGUUUUGGGAGGGAAUGUCCUGAGGAGCUGGCUGGCCACUGACAUUUGGAAAAUGAAUGAAUUGUGCUUGCCAGGUGCUUGAGAACAACAUUUGGCACGAAAUAGCUGGCAUGUCAUGAGCUUGCAGGCUGUGUUAUUAUUUCCUAUUCUUCCAGACCUUCUCAUUGUAUCAGGGGAAUAAGCACAAGCCUGUUUCAGAGCACAUCAAAUAUCCCAAGGGGGAUAGUCACAGACAUAUUUACAGUAUAUCAAUUUUAUUAACAUAUUUAACUAAAGUAGAAUUACUUAUGAGGUAUUAUCCCAAAUAAUGACCACAGUGGAGACCUAAAAUGCAUCUGGAGUACAUGCUGUGUAGACACUGGGAAGAGCUGAGAAAAGUUAAGAGCUCCUGAACUUCAGAUUACACAAAUGUCCUGCACUUUAUUUGCACUCCCAGUGUUACAAAACAGAGUUUUGCAACUUUAUAAUAAUAAUACUAAUACUGUUGAAAACAAGCCUGCUGCUCAAUAGUACUUCAACAACUCCUGAUAAUCUAUGUAUCCUUUGCGUCACCACUGAGCCCUGAGCUGACACUUAGCCAGGUCGCAGCAGCUUCCCAAACAUCUUUGUUUCUGGCUUUCCAAAUCAUCAACUCAACUUCUCUUGCAGAGAUGAAGGCCCGUGGGGCUGGGGGUUGCUCACUUCAAGCAGAACAACAGAUACUUCUGAACUACAAAGACAGUCAGGAAUAUGACAAAGGAUGUAAAUCAUCAACAGAUGCUGAACUUAUUUUUUGUUGUAUCCAUACAGGUCUAUUUCCAAAAGCACUGAGUACUAUCUCUUCCACUGAUUUUAUCAACACUCAAGAGAAAAC